UACGAAGGGGGCUAGCGUUGCUCGGAAUCACUGGGCGUAAAGGGCGCGUAGGCGGAUCUUUAAGUCGGGGGUGAAAGCCCAGGGCUCAACCCUGGAAUUGCCUUCGAUACUGAAGAUCUCGAGACCGGAAGAGGUAAGUGGAACUGCGAGUGUAGAGGUGAAAUUCGUAGAUAUUCGCAAGAACACCAGUGGCGAAGGCGGCUUACUGGUCCGGUUCUGACGCUGAGGCGCGAAAGCGUGGGAGCAAACAGG
rnacentral:rRNA from 1 species